GUAGGUGGCAAGCGUUGUCCGGAAUUAUUGGGCGUAAAGCGCGCGCAGGCGGUCCUUUAAGUCUGAUGUGAAAGCCCACGGCUCAACCGUGGAGGGUCAUUGGAAACUGGGGGACUUGAGUACAGAAGAGGAAAGCGGAAUUCCAAGUGUAGCGGUGAAAUGCGUAGAGAUUUGGAGGAACACCAGUGGCGAAGGCGGCUUUCUGGUCUGUAACUGACGCUGAGGCGCGAAAGCGUGGGGAGCAAACAGGGAUUAGAUACCCUGGUAGUCCACGCCGUAAACGAUGAGUGCUAAGCGUCAGGGGGUUUCCGCCCCCCUUAGUGCUGCAGCUAACGCAUUAAGCACUCCGCCUGGGAGUACGGCCGCAAGGCUG
rnacentral:rRNA from 1 species